GAUGAAGAACGCAGUGAAAUGCGAUACGUAAUGUGAAUUGUAGAAUUCAGUGAAUCAUCGAGUCUUUGAACGCACAUUGCGCCCCCUGGUAUUCCGGGGGGCAUGCCUAUCCGAGCGUCAUUGCUGCCCUCAAGCACGGCUUGUGUGUUGGGCCUCCGUCCUCCUCCCGGGGGACGGGCCCGAAAGGCAGCGGCGGCACCGCGUCCGGUCCUCGAGCGUAUGGGGCUUCGUCACCCGCUCUUGUAGGCCCGGCCGGCGCUUGCCGACACAUCAAUCUUUUUUCCAGGUUGACCUCGGAUCAGGUAGGGAUACCCGCUGAACUUAAGCAUAUCAAUAAGCGGAGGA
rnacentral:misc_RNA from 1 species